AUGAAGGUAAUCUCAUCUGCAGGUGUGAGUUUUGGGAAUGUCAUCACACCAGCUGAAACUCAUAUGUUUGGGACAGAAGGAGACAUUGUAAGUCUCCCCUGUAGCUACUCCUCAGCAAGCAGCCUGUUUUGGUAUCGCCAAUAUCCCGGAUCGGCUCCUGAAUUUCUUUUCAGUAUUCUUCAUGCCACUGGGGAAGUUUUACAAAAAUCUAAUAUUGUGGAUCAAGAUCCUCGAUUCUCUGCCAAACUGAAUGAAGAGAAAACCCAUGUGUAUCUGGAGAUCUCCUCUGCUGAAGUGACAGACUCAGUGAUGUUCUACUGUGCUCUGGAGCCCACAGUCACAGGAAAACACACUACACUGUACAAAAACACGCUGUCUUGUGUUUAA